rnacentral:lncRNA from 1 species
UGGGAGUCCCAGGCCUGGGCACAGCACUCCAUAUGAGGCCUCAUGAGGGCAGACUACAGGGGGACAGUCCUUCCCUCUCCCUGCUGGCCAGGAUACAGUUGGCCUUCCAGUCUGCAAGCACACACUGCUGGCUCAUGUCCAGCUUUUUGGCCACCAGAGCUCCUAAGUCCUUAUCCACAGGGCUGCUCUCAAUGAAUUCUUCUCCCAGUCUGUACUUGUAUCUAGGAUUGCCCGGACACACGUAAAACACCCUGUACUUGGCCUUUUUUGAACCUCAUUAGGUUCUUGUGGGUCCACUUUCUGAGCAUGUCCCGGUCCCUCUGGAUGGCAUCCCUUUUUUUCUAAUGUGUCAGCUGCACCACUCAGCUCAGUGUCAUCAGCAAACUUGCUGAGGAUACACUCAAUCCCACUAUUGAUGUCACUGAUAAAGAUGCUGAAGAGCACAGGUCCCAGGACAGACCCUGGCGGGCACCACUUGUCACCAGCCUUCACCUGGACAUAGAGCAGCGGAUCACAGCUCUCUGAGUGCAACCACCCCCAGCUAACUCCUUGUCCUCUGAGUGCUCCCAGUAAUUAUCUGUGCAACGUGUCAGCUGAACUCCACCUAUUGUUCCCCAGCGCUACAGCAGCGCCUGUAGGCUGCAGCCCGAGCCUGCCGGGCAGGGCAGCGCAGUGCACGAGGCAGCAGCCGCGCCGCUUCCCGCGGCUCGGAGCGGCCACGCGCCGGCCGUUAGCUCCCUGAGCAGCACGUGCCCUGCAGGCGGAGCCUCGCGCCCUUCGCCUCAUGGCACCGCAGGCGGGCGGAGCUCAGCGCUUCUCCGGCGCUGUUCAAUGUCGUGUUCCGCAGCGGUGCCUGCGUGUGGGGCUGGUGAAUGCGGCGGGGUCACUGACCCCUCUCUCAGGGUGGCGAGAUGUGCUGCAGGUCAGCAGAGGGACAGCGGGACCAUAAGACUGCCCAGGAUUUGUUCGUCCUAUUCUGGCUGUUAUAAAAUGCAGUGGGAGCAAUUCCAGCUCAAGCACAUCACUCCAGCGUCAAGCAGACCAUGA